CAGUAGCGCGGGAAUACAGAGGGUGCAAGCGUUAAUCGGAUUUACUGGGCGUAAAGGGCGCGCAGGUGGUUAUUUAAGUGAGAUGUGAAAGCCCCGGGCUUAACCUGGGAACUGCAUCUUAUACUGGGUAACUGGAGUGCAGUAGAGGGUAGUGGAAUUUCCGGUGUAGCGGUGAAAUGCGUAGAUAUCGGAAGGAACACCAGUGGCGAAGGCGGCUACCUGGACUGAGACUGACACUGAGGCGCGAGAGCGUGGGGAGCAAACAGGAUUAGAUACCCGCGUAGUCCCUGUCUCUUAUACA
rnacentral:rRNA from 1 species